CCUACGGGAGGCAGCAGUGGGGAAUAUUGCACAAUGGGGGAAACCCUGAUGCAGCGACGCCGCGUGAGUGAAGAAGUAAUUCGUUAUGUAAAGCUCUAUCAGCAGGGAAGAAAAUGACGGUACCUGAGUAAGAAGCCCCGGCUAACUACGUGCCAGCAGCCGCGGUAAUACGUAGGGGGCAAGCGUUAUCCGGAUUUACUGGGUGGAAAGGGAGCGUAGACGGGAGUGCAAGUCUGGAGUGAAAGGCGGGGGCUCAACCCCCGGACUGCUCUGGAAACUGUACGGCUGGAGUGCAGGAGAGGUAAGUGGAAGUCCUGGUGUAGCGGUGAAAUGCGUAGAUAUUAGGAGGAACACCAGUGGCGAAGGCGGCUUACUGGACUGUAACUGACGUUGAGGCUCGAAAGCGUGGGGAGCAAACAGGAUUAGAUACCCCUGUAGUC
rnacentral:rRNA from 1 species